AUACGUAGGGGGCGAGCGUUGUCCGGAAUGAUUGGGCGUAAAGGGCGCGUAGGCGGCCCGGUAAGUCUGGAGUGAAAGUCCUGUUUUUAAGAUGGGAAUUGCUUUGGAUACUGUCGGGCUUGAGUGCAGGAGAGGUAAGUGGAAUUCCCAGUGUAGCGGUGAAAUGCGUAGAGAUUGGGAGGAACACCAUUGGCGAAGGCGACUUACUGGACUGUAACUGACGCUGAGGCGCGAAAGUGUGGGGAGCAAACAGGAUUAGAUACCCUGGUAGUCCACACUGUAAACGAUGAAUGCUAGGUGUAGGGGGUAUCGACCCCUUCUGUGCCGCAGUCAACACAAUAAGCAUUCCGCCUGGGGAGUACGGCCGCAAGGUUGAAACUCAAAGGAAUUGACGGGG
rnacentral:rRNA from 1 species